rnacentral:lncRNA from 1 species
GUAGGAGAACGACGAGACUGCGCGGCCUGGGGGCGCUAGGGCGCUCCGAGUGCCCUAAAUUAUCCACCAGAGGCACCCGCAAGCCAGUUGCUCUAGACCAGGCCAGGGCCUAGACCCAGCCCGCCGGGGCAGUCUGGCCCCAUCGUGUUCGGAUCCGUGCUGGCCGCCUAGCCUCCUCUCUCCAACACCUUGGGGCUUUCUGAAAGUCAGCCAGGAUUCUGCAACGUUUCUGGUGACCACGAAAGGACUGGAGAUGACAGAUUUGCUGUCUCCUUUGCCUGCCGGCCCCAGCUACUCAAGUCCUGGGACCUCUGGUACCAUUAGGUGAGACUUCAGCUGGGAGAGGAAAUCAGCCCUCCUACAGCUGGGCAGUCUUCCCCACUGCCAGCACAAUGGAACCUGAGGGGAUUCAGGAUGAUUCUGGAACAGUGUGCUGCAGGACCUCGGUAAGGUUUUGGAGCCCACGGGAAAGCCCCUCCUGUUAGGACAGAGGUGGAAACUGGUCACCUCCCAGGGUGUACCAAGUAAUCCUGCUCAGGGGAAGUCUCAGAAAACCUACAACCCCAAGUGGAACUGGGGGGUGGGGAGGGAGCAGUGAGAAUUGCUCUCUAACAACUCUCAGGAGAGGCCCACAAUGAAACUGGCUUCCAAGUGACUCUCUAAGAACUGGUAGCAGAGGACCACAACAAGAGUGGCUCACAAAGGGGGUGUGCCAAGCAGUCAGAAGGAGUCGGACGAAACCCAUACCCAGGUGCACCAAAUAGCCAGACUGGGAAGGAAUUGGGUGAAACCUACUCCCAGGUUAGAAAAAACGAAUAGAGAAAUGCAUGAGUGCAUGUAAAUAAGUGAAGUGAAGAAAAAAAAAAACUAGGAAAACACCAGUAAGCAUGGAGUGAGACAGUGGAAGGGAUGCUCCUGGCUUUGGGAGCCCCAAGGCCAACACUUGCUGAGCACCACCAGCCUGGCGCUGCCUACAGGCAUCUGAAAGCUGGAGCAACCCCAGCCUGGGGCUAAAUGGCCAAAGUUGAAAAGCUGCAAUGACCACAUCCUGCCAGGCAUAAAGAGGUUUUACAGGAAAAAUCACAUUACAAAUUUUAGCUAAUUGAUAAAUGUACUUUUGGUUUCCAAUUUGAGUUGAUGCUUUUGUUUAAUUGGUGUGCUUAAAGCAUUUCUUGUUUGUGGGGUUUUUUUGUUUGUUUUGUCUUUUGGUACUGGGAAUCAAACUCAGGACCUUGCACUUUCUUUUUUAUUAUUAUUAUAUUAAAAUGGCCUUUUUUGAUUAAAAAUUUAAUACCUGAAUAAUUAUAGUACAAUUUUUGGUUGAGGUCUGUGUAUUGUGAGAACAUGAACUUCCACAUUCUUACAAAUAUUUAAAUACAUUUCUGUUCCUCAUGAACAUCAGUAGCUUUAUUGAAAGAAGAAAUUAUUUAAUUCACAAUUAUCUUUUGACUUUACCUAUGGAAAAACUUGAAGUUAAAUUCACUAUUCAAUUUUACAAUGUGUUAGUGUUGAUAUAGUUUUUUCACCUACAAAUUUAUUUUUUCAUAGAUUAAUCACAAUUGUCCUGUUUUACAUGUAUUUUAGUUGUAAGUCACUUCAAAUGCUUUUUGGAAGGUUUAAUAUAAAUCAUGAUUGAAAAUGACUAACCUUGACUAAAGUGUAAACAGAUGUCUGGUUGAUGUGCUAACCACCCUUCUCCAACAUACAUCAAUCCUAGGGAAAGUAAAGUCUCAUGGUCAUGGCUUUCAAUGUAAAAUAUUCAUACAUAUUUCAGAUUGCUAGAAUCUAAUAACCUGCCUCUGAAGAUGAAUCACACAAACACACACACACCCCACACACCCCACACCCUGUUGUAGAAAUAAUGUGAAUUCUUUAGCUACUUUCCCUAAAGGCAUCCAAACAAGUGAACAAGACUGGGACUACAAUAUUGUUUCUCAUUUAGUUAAAACUUUCAAGAAAAACUUUCAAGACUUCUGUAUAAAUAGCUACCUAAACACAGAACAAAUUAGGAAGAUGUGGGUCAAACACGGCUGAACUUCACUCAGCAUCAACUAGCUGAGUCUCUCGACGACAAAGCUUGUUCUCUUAUUCUGGUUUCCAGAGGACUUGGUAAGCUUUGCUGAGCACCGUGGUAACCUUUUUAAGACACUAAUCAAAACCAUGCUCCUACGUUUUAAAAACCCCAGAAGUGGUCUUAGGACAACAGAAGCGCCUCAACCACUAAAAUAAGCAAGUUUCUAUUACAGUAUAAGUAAAAUUUCCAUACAGCAAAUCCUCAAACAGUUCAGCAACCAAUUAAUAGAAAACAGUCUGAAAUAUUUCUGAUUAUUCCUUUGGAUCUUUCAACCCAUAGUUAAAAUACAUGGAAAACAAUUGGUUGUCAGAAAGCUUGUGAUGAUAUAAUGUAUUUCUUUUAAAAAAAAUACUGGCCUGAGUCAAGCAUGGAGAACUCGGACCAGACGCACAGUAGAUACUUCUAUUACCCUAGCUGCAGGCUCCUCCUGAGUAGUGUCUAAUACUGGGCAAGUUUCAUUAAGGUUUAAUGGCCUCACACAGUAAAGAUGACCAACACAUUCAGUUCUCCUGGAAUCAACACAAUGAGAUGAUUAAAGGUGCACUACAAAUCCGAAAGGACCUUGCACUUUCGAGGAAGGCUGUGUGCCACUGAGCUAAAUCCUCAGCCCUUAAAGCGUUUCUUAUG